AAAUAACAACAGAGCCCACAAACUUUACAGGGGCAAGUACCAACCCAAAUAUCAAUUGCAUCAAGAGCUCAAUUCAAGUGAUUCAAACAAGUUUUUAUCCAAGUCCCAUAGUAGACAUGAGGAAGGAGAGACCAAUGGCUUACCUAUGAGGGAGUCAAAGAAGAAGUGGCCACCGUACGGGCACGGUGGGAGCCGUCGGAGUGAGGGAUGAUGCAAGCAGACCCGCUUGCCAUACGGCAGCAUCUCACCCAAAAACUAAUUUAGUCAUGACAACAAGAAACAUCCUCAGAUAACAAGGUGGUUGGUCGCUAGCCUCGAACUAUUGCUCACGUACAUCCUUCAGCGACACAAAGCUUGGGUAGCAGAGAAUUUCCCUUGGAUACAGGAACUGCCAUGCUCUUCAUACCUGUUUUGGGAGCACAUAUUGUUAGGUGUCCGAGGCGAGAUGAUUAACUAGGGCAAACAGAAAAGAACCAAGAAUAUCUAAACUUACUCGGCUCUUUAGAACACUUGCUGGAACGGCCCAAGAGAUGCAAAGAUG
rnacentral:lncRNA from 1 species